CACAUUAAUCCCCCUACCAAUCGUUCGCCCCAUCCCACUUUUCCCCUCCAUCACCCGCAAAUGACCGGGAAACCCGUCGCAUGAGCAAAAGUCUGACCGGGUUUGAGAGUACUGUCGGCAAUCGAUUGGCACACACGCCUGCCAUCAUUUCAGUCAGCCAAUGGUGCGCCUCCCUCGACCAUUGGGGGAGUGGCAAAACAAUCUGACGUCACAAAAGCCAACCAGGACGACCUCUCGCGGUGGCGGCGCAUCUCGUCAUGCGCCUCAAGCUUUUGACCACCCGCUUAGUAAAGGUUCCCGUGUAUAUACAUUUCUAGGAAAUUGUUUAAGUGUCUGUCUAUAUACGUAUAUACAAUACAUACAUGUAUAUGAAUACAUGUAUAUAUAAAACUUUGAUACACGUAUACUAGUUGGCGUACAACGAAAACUCUUACUCGUUGUGUCUUUUGCAACGUUGUGAGUUUGGAAAUUUAGUAACUUAGCGCCUCAUGUGAAUGAGACAAUUUGUUAAUUAUUGUCAGAGAAUUCUUCCUAUGAGGUGAAAAAUCCGAGACGAAUGUAAACGUUUAAACAAAGGGAGAUUUUUUUCUCCCCCUCCUUAUGAUUGAGAACCACUGUGUGAUCGAAGGGCCCUAUUUUUGCAGAGAGUUCCCGCAGGCAAGCAAGGAUCAUGAAAGGUGCAGGUGAAGAGAGGUUUAGGACGGAUGCUGCUUCUGAAAAGGUGCGUGUAAUUAUGUAUGAGGAUAGCAUAGCGUUGGAUAUAACAUAUCGGGCAUUCCAACAGCCAAGAGAACUCGGAUCCACCCUCGCAGUUGGCCCGUUAAACUGAAUAGCAGCUAAUGAACGCGAAGCUCCAGUCUUCUGUCAGUUCGUCCGUCCGUCUAACCACGAUCGUACGAACAGUGGCAAAGUGAAUUCACAAUGAGUCUCAAGCUAAGCUCCUUUUACAUAUACUCUAUAUCCAAAAACAAAUCACCUUUCUUCCUUUAUUUUAAACUUCAUUUCCGCUUCAAUUAUGUAAUUAUCCAAGUUAUAAUAAUAAAUAAAUUUGUAAUUUUCAGAUUUUUUAAAAAUUUA